AUAUAGAACUUUAUUGAUUGUUUCUUUUUUAGUGCUGGUGAAAUUCAGUUUGCCAGGUUCUACCAAUUUGGUCCUGAUGGAUUCUGCGGGAGUGGAAGUGGAUUCGGACAUAUUUGAUGAACUUUUGAAGUCAUCUCAGGUGUCUUUCAGUGUCUUCACUGAAGAAUGCAGUGACAACAGUGUUGCAGGGUCUUCUUCAGAUCACACAUCUUCAUUAGAGUUGUCACCGUCACCUGCAUCAGGAGGAUCAUCAUCAGGUUCAGACACAACAAUAAUACUCGAAUCUACCAAAGCUCGGAAAAGACAAUUAAUUGAAGGACCUCCUGACAGCAACACUGCAAGAAAUAUCAUCAGAGCAGCCUUGUAUUCAAAGCCAGAUGGUGAUCAAGUAUUUAAGGAAUAUGAGAAAACAAACUGCCUCUCUGAUACUACAAGAAGAAGGAUGGUGAACAUCCUUGUGGCAGACAUGGUAGAG